rnacentral:tRNA from 1 species
AUAGCUCAUUUGGUAGAGUGCUUGCCUAGCAUGCAAAAGGCCCUGGGUUCAAUCCCCGGU